rnacentral:rRNA from 1 species
AAUCAACGCUGGCGGCGUGCCUCAGACAUGCAAGUCGAACGCGAAAGUCCUCUUCCGGGGGACAAGUAGAGUGGCGCACGGGUGAGUAACACGUAGGUAAUCUACCUUUCGGAUGGGGAAUAACAAUCGGAAACGAUUGCUAAUACCGCAUAAUGCAGCGGCACCUAAUGGUGACAGUUGUUAAAGCGGGGGAUCGAAAGACCUCGCGUCUGAAGAGGAGCCUGCGGCGGAUUAGCUAGUUGGUAAGGUAAAGGCUUACCAAGGCAACGAUCCGUAACCGGCCUGAGAGGGCGGUCGGUCACACUGACACUGACAUACGGGUCAGACUCCUACGGGAGGCAGCAGUCGGGAAUUUUGGGCAAUGGGCGAAAGCCUGACCCAGCAACGCCGCGUGAAGGAUGAGAUCCCUCGGGAUGUAAACUUCGCAAGAACGGGAAGAAUAAGUAGGGGACAAUACCCCCUAUGAUGACGGUACCGUUUGUAAGCUCCGGCUAACUCCGUGCCAGCAGCCGCGGUAAUACGGGGGGAGCAAGCGUUGUUCGGAUUUACUGGGCGUAAAGGGCGCGUAGGCGGCCAGCACAAGUCAGUUGUGAAAUCUCCGAGCUUAACUCGGAAAGGUCAACUGAUACUGUGCGGCUAGAGUGCGGAAGGGGCAACUGGAAUUCUUGGUGUAGCGGUGAAAUGCGUAGAUAUCAAGAGGAACACCUGCGGCGAAGGCGGGUUGCUGGGCCGACACUGACGCUGAGGCGCGAAAGCCAGGGGAGCGAACGGGAUUAGAUACCCCGGUAGUCCUGGCCUUAAACGAUGAAUGCUUGGUGUCUGGGGUUAUAUAGUCCCCGGGUGCCGUCGCCAACGCUUUAAGCAUUCCGCCUGGGGAGUACGGUCGCAAGACUG